rnacentral:rRNA from 1 species
AUUGAACGCUGGCGGCAGGCCUAACACAUGCAAGUCGAACGAGUGGCGGACGGGUGAGUAAUGUCUGGGAAACUGCCUGAUGGAGGGGGAUAACUACGGGAAACGGUAGCUAAUACAGCAUACCAUCGGAUGUGCCAAGAUGGGAUGAGCUAGUCGGUGGGGUAACGGAUCACCUAGGCGCCGAUCCCUAGCUGGUCUGAGAGGAUGACCAGCCACACUGGAACGGAGACACGGUCCAGACUCCUACGGGAGGCUGCAGUGGGGAAUAUUGCACAAGGGGCGCAAGCCUGAUGCAGCCAUGCCGCGUGUAUGAAGAAGGCCUUCGGGUUGUAAAGUACUUUCAGCGGGGAGGCGUUACCCGCAGAAGAAGCACCGGCUAACUCCGUGCCAGCCGCCGCGGUAAUAC